UAGGGAAUCUUCCACAAUGGACGAAGGUCUGAUGGAGCAACGCCGCGUGAGUGAAGAAGGUUUUCGGAUCGUAAAGCUCUGUUGUUGGUGAAGAAGGAUAGAGGCAGUAACUGGUCUUUAUUUGACGGUAAUCAACCAGAAAGUCACGGCUAACUACGUGCCAG
rnacentral:rRNA from 1 species